UGCAGUUUCGAAAGACGAAGAAAAAGAAUAAGAAAUUGGAGAAUUUGAUUUUGGUGUUCGGUUUGAAACCAAACAGCAACUCGAACGAAUUUUUGAUGCUGAAUAUCAAGAAUUCUUGCGAAAUUGCUGUUGAAUCUGUCUCAAUGGACCACAAAGCCGGUGCAUCGAAGGGUGGACUAAGCACAACUCAACAGUUAGGCCAAAAAAUGCAUAAUAUUUCAGUGUCGCCGAAUGCAAGUUUUUUAUUCAGCCCGAGUUCCCCGACCGUGGGGGAUGCCCUUGCUGGUGUAGCGAUUGGCCCUGCAGUGCAGAUUUUGGACCAAAUGCCAAUAUCUAUGCUCACAUCAUUCACCAUUGAAAAUAGAUAAGCUACGCAAGGUGAAUCAUAGAAAUAAUUAAAAAGAUCCUGAUAGCAGUAAGUGUAAGUUAAAAUGGAAAAAUAAAAUGUAGAUAAAGUGAAA